rnacentral:rRNA from 1 species
CACGUAGGGCGCGAGCGUUGUCCGGAAUUAUUGGGCGUAAAGAGCUCGUAGGCGGUUUGUCGCGUCUGCUGUGAAAACCUAAGGCUCAACCUUGGGCUUGCAGUGGGUACGGGCAGACUAGAGUGCGGUAGGGGUGACUGGAAUUCCUGGUGUAGCGGUGGAAUGCGCAGAUAUCAGGAGGAACACCGAUGGCGAAGGCAGGUCACUGGGCCGCAACUGACGCUGAGGAGCGAAAGCAUGGGGAGCGAACAGG